rnacentral:lncRNA from 1 species
GGCGACGAUUGGGCACCUUCAAACGACGUCAACGUCGGACAAGUCAAAAGACAAAAGAAGUUCGACGGGCGAUAAUUUAAUACAAUACGUGGAUGAGGUAACACAAAAUCCCCUUUUCAUUCCAUUUGCGAAAUAUACACCACGAAGCCCAGAAGGCCAAAGGAAGAAAAGCAAAACGACAAAAGCAAGACAAAACAACAAAAGAGAAAAUAUAUGCAUGGAAAGAUGGAAGGCCAAAAAGAUCCCUAGGG